rnacentral:rRNA from 1 species
AUUGAACGCUGGCGGCAUGCUUUACACAUGCAAGUCGAACGGUAACAGGCCGCAAGGUGCUGACGAGUGGCGAACGGGUGAGUAAUGCAUCGGAACGUGCCCAGUCGUGGGGGAUAACUACUCGAAAGAGUAGCUAAUACCGCAUACGAUCUAUGGAUGAAAGCGGGGGACCGUAAGGCCUCGCGCGAUUGGAGCGGCCGAUGUCAGAUUAGGUAGUUGGUGGGGUAAAGGCUCACCAAGCCAACGAUCUGUAGCUGGUCUGAGAGGACGACCAGCCACACUGGGACUGAGACACGGCCCAGACUCCUACGGGAGGCAGCAGUGGGGAAUUUUGGACAAUGGGCGCAAGCCUGAUCCAGCAAUGCCGCGUGCAGGAAGAAGGCCUUCGGGUUGUAAACUGCUUUUGUACGGAACGAAACGGCUCUGGUUAAUACCCGGGGCUAAUGACGGUACCGGAAGAAUAAGCACCGGCUAAUUACGUG